rnacentral:rRNA from 1 species
AGAGUUUGAUCCUGGCUCAGAUUGAACGCUGGCGGCAGGCUUAACACAUGCAAGUCGAGCGGUAACAGAGAUAGCUUGCUAUCUGCUGACGAGCGGCGGACGGGUGAGUAAUGCUUGGGAAUAUGCCUUAUGGUGGGGGACAACAGUUGGAAACGACUGCUAAUACCGCAUAACGUCUACGGACCAAAGGGGGGGAUCUUCGGACCUCUCGCCAUUUGAUUAGCCCAAGUGAGAUUAGCUAGUUGGUAAGGUAAUGGCUUACCAAGGCGACGAUCUCUAGCUGGUUUGAGAGGAUGAUCAGCCACACUGGGACUGAGACACGGCCCAGACUCCUACGGGAGGCAGCAGUGGGGAAUAUUGCACAAUGGGCGAAAGCCUGAUGCAGCCAUGCCGCGUGUGUGAAGAAGGCCUUCGGGUUGUAAAGCACUUUCAGUUGUGAGGAAAGGGGUGUAGUUAAUAGCUGCAUCCUGUGACGUUAACAACAGAAGAAGCACCGGCUA